rnacentral:rRNA from 1 species
AGCGAACGCUGGCGGCAGGCCUAACACAUGCAAGUCGAACGAACCUUUCGGGGUUAGUGGCGGACGGGUGAGUAACACGUGGGAACGUGCCUUUAGGUUCGGAAUAACUCAGGGAAACUUGUGCUAAUACCGAAUGUGCCCUUCGGGGGAAAGAUUUAUCGCCUUUAGAGCGGCCCGCGUCUGAUUAGCUAGUUGGUUGAGGUAAUGGCUCACCAAGGCGACGAUCAGUAGCUGGUCUGAGAGGAUGAUCAGCCACAUUGGGACUGAGACACGGCCCAAACUCCUACGGGAGGGAGCAGUGGGGAAUCUUGCGCAAUGGGCGAAAGCCUGACGCAGCCAGGCCGGGUGAAUGAUGAAGGUCUUAGGAUGGUAAAAUUCUUUCACCGGGGACGAUAAUGACGGUACCCGGAGAAGAAGCCCCGGCUAACUUCGUG